GACGAACGCUGGCGGCACGCCUAACACAUGCAAGUCGAACGGACUUAACGGAGCUUGCUUCUUAAAGUUACUGACGGCCUGGUGAGUUACACUUAAGCAAGCAACAUCUGCCAGGGGGAUAGCCUCUGGACACGGAAGGUAUUCCCCCCAAAAAUUUAUCGCCCUGGGAUGGGCCCGCGUAGGAUAAGAUAGUUGGUAUGGUAAUAGCUUACCAAGCCGACGAUGCUUAGCUGGACUGAGAGGAUGAACAGCCACAUUGGGACUGAGACACGGCCCAGACUCCUACGGGAGGCAGCAGUGGGGAAUAUUGCACAAUGGAGGGAAGUCUGAUCCAGCGAUGCCGCGUGGAGGAAGAAGGUUUUCGGAUUGUAAAGUCCUUUUAUCAGGGACGAUAAUGACAGUACCUGAAGAAAAAGCUCCGGCUAACUACGUG
rnacentral:rRNA from 1 species